AGACAGGUGAGCUGUGGUGAGUCAGUAAUACCUAGACAGGUGAGAUGUGGUGAGUCAGUAAUAUCUAGACAGGUGAGAUGUGGUGAGUCAGUAAUACCUAGACAGGUGAGAUGUGGUGAGUCAGUAAUAUCUAGACAGGUGAGAUGUGGUGAGCCAGUAAUACCUAGACAGGUGAGAUGUGGUGAGUCAGUAAUACCUAGACAGGUGAGCUGUGGUGAGUCAGUAAUACCUAGACAGGUGAGAUGUGGUGAGUCAGUAAUAUCUAGACAGGUGAGAUGUGGUGAGUCAGUAAUACCUAGACAGGUGAGAUGUGGUGAGUCAGUAAUAUCUAGACAGGUGAGAUGUGGUGAGUCAGUAAUAUCUAGACAGGUAAGAUGUGGUGAGUCAGUAAUACCUAGACAGGUGAGAUGUGGUGAGUCAGUAAUAUCUAGACAGGUGAGAUGUG